CUUAAGUUGGUUUCAGUGGAUGCAGCUGGUUCCCUAGAGGGGAGACCCCCAGGAGCCUGAGUGCCUAGAGGGAGGGUGAGGAGGCAGCCACAGGCAAGUUGCAAUAUUUUCUCUACAUAUUCUGCCUGGAAUCAAGAUGCCCAGGAAAGAAGUUCUGGACUUAGAAAGUGGAGGGAGUUUUGUAUUUUUAGUAGAGACAGCAUUUCACCAUGUUGGCCAGGCUGGUCUUGAACUCCUGACCUCAGGUGAUCCACCUGCCUCAGCCUCCCAAAGUGCUGGAAUUACAGGUGCAAGCCACUGUGCCAGGCCAGGGUUCUGGUUUUUAUGACCAACCUUAGGGAAGAGGCAUUCUAGUUUCUAUGACUAGCCCUGGGGAACAAUGGCACUGAGAGACAGGAGGGCAGGAGAAGGUCAGAGGAAAGUUUCUGCUUCCGAGGCCUUCUCUUGGGGGCACUGUUUUCUGAGCCCCAACAGGGACAUUCAGUGCUUUUAUGGAGCUCAUUCUCUUUUCUCUUCUCCAUGGAAUUAAACACCUGGGUAAGACCAGGCACUAUGGCUCAUGCCUGUAAUCCCAGCUCUUUGAGAGGCUGAUACAGGGAGAUGAGUCAAGGAGUUCAAGACCAGCCUGGGCAACAUAGUGAGACCCUGUCUUUACAAAAAAUACAAACAUUAGCUGGGCAUGGUAUGCAUGGAUAGUCCCAGCUAUUCAGGAAGCUGAGGUGGGAGGAUCACUUGAGCCUGGAAGGUUGAGGCUACAGUGAGUUGUGAUCACACCACUGCACUCCAGCCUGGGUGAGAGAGUGAGACCCUAUCUCAAAAGAAAAGAAAAGAACAGACCACAUACACACAUACCCUACUUGACUAGUUCUUCUCAAAGCCAAGGUGGGAAAAGGGAGGGCAAAGAACCUCUCUUUUAAAGAUGGUAAUGUUGGCUGAACAUGGUGGCUCACACCUGUAAUCCUAGCACUUUGGGAGGCCAAGGCAGGCAGAUCACUUGAGGUCAGGAGUUCAAGAGCAUCCUAGCCAACAUUGUGAAACCCCAUCUCUUCUAAAAUACAAAAAAAAAAA
rnacentral:lncRNA from 1 species